AUCCAGCUAUCGACGAGUCCUAAAUAGGACGAAAUGCGCAUCAUGGAU
rnacentral:hammerhead_ribozyme from 1 species